rnacentral:lncRNA from 1 species
CACGGAGCGUGCCCGGCGUAGCACGAGCCUGGCCCGACGCGGCGCGGCGCUACGUUGAAUGGCAGCGGCAUAGUGCAGCAUAGCACAGCAUGGCAUGGCCUGGCCUGGCACAGCAUAGCACAGCGUGGAGGUGACCAGGCUGGUUGGUGAACAGGGAAACAUGUCUGGGUGCUGUUGCCACGGUUGUUGAACACUCAGCAUGCAUGGAGGUGAUGUUGCAGACCCGGAGCAUUCAGCCAUAUUCGGCCAUGCCAGUAAAGAGCAGCAGCUGCCUCCUUUGUGUCCUGGUUAGUGAAGCUUCAUUUGGCCCUGACGCAGUUUGGGGCACCCCUGAGUUAAACCUGGAGGCAGUCCAGGUGAUGUGACACUGACAGAGCAAUGGAAGCCCACAGCUUGGCAGAUGAUUUGAAGCUGUGAGGACGUGGGAGGCGAAAUGCACUUUGAGUCUUCUUUGUCAGGAGGUUUCAGAAGGGUGGGAAGG